rnacentral:rRNA from 1 species
UACGGAGGGGGCUAGCGUUGUUCGGAAUUACUGGGCGUAAAGCGCGCGUAGGCGGCUUUGUAAGUUAGAGGUGAAAGCCCGGAGCUCAACUCCGGAAUUGCCUUUAAGACUGCAUCGCUAGAAUCAUGGAGAGGUUAGUGGAAUUCCGAGUGUAGAGGUGAAAUUCGUAGAUAUUCGCAAGAACACCAGUGGCGAAGGCGGCUCACUGGCCCGGUACUGACGCUGAGGUGCGAAAGCGUGGGGAGCAAACAGG